rnacentral:rRNA from 1 species
GGAUGGCCCUGUUGCAGGACUAAAGACCGCUUUCUAAUCCAUUGAUCUUCGGAUUAAUAUUCAUAACAUCU